AGUGAACGCUGGCGGUAGGCCUAACACAUGCAAGUCGAACGGCAGCACAGUAAGAGCUUGCUCUUACGGGUGGCGAGUGGCGGACGGGUGAGGAAUACAUCGGAAUCUACUUUUUCGUGGGGGAUAAUGUAGGGAAACUUACGCUAAUACCGCAUACGACCUGCGGGUGAAAGCAGGGGAUCUUCGGACCUUGCGCGAUUGAAUGAGCCGAUGUCGGAUUAGCUAGUUGGCGGGGUAAAGGCCCACCAAGGCGACGAUCCGUAGCUGGUCUGAGAGGAUGAUCAGCCACACUGGAACUGAGACACGGUCCAGACUCCUACGGGAGGCGGCAGUGGGGAAUAUUGGACAAUGGGCGCAAGCCUGAUCCAGCCAUACCGCGUGGGUGAAGAAGGCCUUCGGGUUGUAAAGCCCUUUUGUUGGGAAAGAAAAGCAGCAGGUUAAUACCCCGCUGUUCUGACGGUACCCAAAGAAUAAGCACCGGCUAACUUCGUG
rnacentral:rRNA from 1 species